rnacentral:rRNA from 1 species
UGGGGAAUCUUCCGCAAUGGACGAAAGUCUGACGGAGCAACGCCGCGUGAGUGAUGACGGCCUUCGGGUUGUAAAGCUCUGUUAAUCGGGACGAAAGGCCUUCUUGCGAACAGUUAGAAGGAUUGACGGUACCGGAAUAGAAAGCCACGGCUAACUACGUGCCAGCAGCCGCGGUAAUACGUAGGUGGCAAGCGUUGUCCGGAAUUAUUGGGCGUAAAGCGCGCGCAGGCGGAUCAGUCAGUCUGUCUUAAAAGUUCGGGGCUUAACCCCGUGAUGGGAUGGAAACUGCUGAUCUAGAGUAUCGGAGAGGAAAGUGGAAUUCCUAGUGUAGCGGUGAAAUGCGUAGAUAUUAGGAAGAACACCAGUGGCGAAGGCGACUUUCUGGACGAAAACUGACGCUGAGGCGCGAAAGCCAGGGGAGCGAACGGGA